CCUGGGGGCUGCAGUGAGGAAUAUUGGUCAAUGGCCGAGAGGCUGAACCAGCCAAGUCGCGUGAGGGAAGACGGCCCUACGGGUUGUAAACCUCUUUUGUCGGGGAGCAAAGCGAACCACGUGUGGUUCAUUGAGAGUACCCGAAGAAAAAGCAUCGGCUAACUCCGUGCCAGCAGCCGCGGUAAUACGGAGGAUGCGAGCGUUAUCCGGAUUUAUUGGGUUUAAAGGGUGCGCAGGCGGAGGUGCAAGUCAGCGGUCAAAUUGCGGGGCUCAACCCCGUACUGCCGUUGAAACUGCAUCCCUGGAGUGCGCGAGAAGUAUGCGGAAUGCGUGGUGUAGCGGUGAAAUGCAUAGAUAUUAGGAGGAACACCAGUGGCGAAGGCGGCUUACUGGACAGUAACUGACGUUGAGGCUCGAAAGCGUGGGGAGCAAACAGGAUUAGAUACCCUUGUAGUC
rnacentral:rRNA from 1 species